rnacentral:rRNA from 1 species
GAUGAACGCUGGCGGCGUGCCUAACACAUGCAAGUCGAACGGACUUACAUUGAAGCCUAGCGAUAUGUAAGUUAGUGGCGGACGGGUGAGUAACGCGUGGGUAACCCGCCUUGUACUGGGGGACAACAGUUGGAAACGACUGCUAAUACCGCAUAAGCGCACAGCUUCGCAUGAAGCAGUGUGAAAAACUCCGGUGGUACAAGAUGGACCCGCGUCUGAUUAGCUGGUUGGUGAGGUAACGGCCCACCAAGGCGACGAUCAGCAGCCGGCCGGAGAGGGUGAACGGCCACAUUGGGACUGAGACACGGCCCAAACUCCUACGGGAGGCAGCAGUGGGGAAUAUUGCACAAUGGGGGAAACCCUGAUGCAGCAACGCCGCGUGAGUGAAGAAGUAUUUCGGUAUGUAAAGCUCUAUCAGCAGGAAAGAAAAUGACGG